UACAGAGGGGGCAAGCGUUGUUCGGAAUUACUGGGCGUAAAGGGCGCGUAGGCGGCCUGUUAAGUCGAACGUGAAAUCCCUGGGCUCAACCCAGGAACUGCGUCCGAUACUGGCAGGCUUGAAUUCGGGAGAGGGAUGCGGAAUUCCAGGUGUAGCGGUGAAAUGCGUAGAUAUCAGGAAGAACACCCGUGGCGAAGGCGGCUCUCUGGGACGGUACUGACGCUGAGACGCGAAAGCGUGGGGAGCGAACAGG
rnacentral:rRNA from 1 species